rnacentral:rRNA from 1 species
CCUACGGUGGGCAGCAGUGGGGAAUAUUGGGCAAUGGGCGCAAGCCUGACCCAGCAACGCCGCGUGAAGGAAGAAGGCCCUCGGGUUGUAAACUUCUUUUGUCAGGGACGAAACAAAUGACGGUACCUGACCAAUAAGCCACGGCUAACUACGUGCCAGCAGCCGCGGCAAUACGUAGGUGGCAAGCGUAAUCCGGAUUUACUGGGUGUAAAGGGCGUGUAGGCGGGAGAGCAAGUCAGAUGUGAAAUUACAGGGGUCAACCCUGUAACUGCAUUUGAAACUGUUUUUCUUGAGUGAUGGAGAGGCAGGCGGCAUGCGGUGUGUAGCGGUGAAAUGAGUAGAUAUACGGAGGAACACCAGUGGCGAAGGCGGCCUGCUGGACAUUAACUGACGCUGAGGCGCGAAAGCGUGGGGAGCAAACAGGAUUAGAUACCCCUGUAGUC